CUCCCCUUCAUUCUCCUUCACUUCUUCCCCCUUCCCCAUCGCAAAGCCGCUGCCGCUGCCACUAUUUUCGAAGACAUCCGAUGGAUGGGCGCUAUCCGUCGGUGCGUUGGCCCUGCGCCUCCUCUGCUUCUUCCUCCUUCCCCACCGUAAAGCAGCUGACGCUCCUUCACCCUCCGCCACCAACGCUGAUUCAGCCUCCGCUACGACGCUGCUUCAGCCUCCGCCGACACGCUGCUUAAGCCUCCGCUGGGGUAUGCGUUGCUUCAGCCGCCGCUGCCGAUAUUUCAUCAGCCCGUGACGUGUGUUGCUGCUGACUGGUGUUGCUGCUACCGCUGUUGACGCCGAUGCCGACGCCGACGAUGCUGUCUGUAACGCCGACGCUGCUGUCUGCAGAAUGAUCGCUAAUUACAGCAGUCAUUCGUCCCUCCUUGUUCUCUUCGGCGUCGGUGACAGGUGCUACUGCCCCCAGUGGCGUUAAACCACGGCAUACCCCUUCUCCGUCAUCGACGAGGCCAUUGGCAUAUGUCUUCUUCGGUUGAGGAUGUCUCUCCUUGUUCUCCGGCAGCGCAGUGCACUUGGAGUUUAUGACGAGGUUCUUCGGCUGGUAAGAAUUUUGGCUUUGGUUUGUGUUGAAUUUGUACAAAUCAAUUAGAUUUGAGAUUGUCUUGAUCAAUUGUUUGAGAGUGUGUGUUUGGCUUACCUCCAUUGGAGUUUUGUUGAUUUCCUGCUCUGAUACCAUCUUAAAGAUGGUAAUCGAGAGAGAUAUAGAAAGAUUGGAUAGGCAUAUUGUUGUAGAAUGUAGAGAAAAUUGUAUUUCUGUUGUGAAUGUUUCUUGCUAUUGAUCUUGCCAA